rnacentral:other from 1 species
AUGGUCCUGAAAUGUGCGUGUUGCCUUAAUUUUGAACCUGCUAUAUUUGAUACGGGAGCCCGAUUGUUUGUGUAGGUAGCACAGGCCGCAACUUAAUACCGACGCAGCUUGCUGCGCAACGGCAGCGGAAGUGUGAAAUACACAACAGGGCACCCACCUGGUUGAGAGCCAGGUGUCAAAAAAGGUAAACGGCAUUUUGGGAAAGGC